GGUGAUGUAGCCAAGCUGGUUAAGGCAGGAGUCUGCAAAACUCCCAUGCGCGGGUUCGAAUCCCGCCAUCACCUCCA
rnacentral:tRNA from 1 species